rnacentral:rRNA from 1 species
UGGGGAAUAUUGCACAAUGGGGGAAACCCUGAUGCAGCGACGCCGCGUGGAGGAAGAAGGUCUUCGGAUUGUAAACUCCUGUUGUUGGGGAAGAUAAUGACGGUACCCAACAAGGAAGUGACGGCUAACUACGUGCCAGCAGCCGCGGUAAAACGUAGGUCACAAGCGUUGUCCGGAAUUACUGGGUGUAAAGGGAGCGCAGGCGGGAAGACAAGUUGGAAGUGAAAUCUAUGGGCUCAACCCAUAAACUGCUUUCAAAACUGUUUUUCUUGAGUAGUGCAGAGGUAGGCGGAAUUCCCGGUGUAGCGGUGGAAUGCGUAGAUAUCGGGAGGAACACCAGUGGCGAAGGCGGCCUACUGGGCACCAACUGACGCUGAGGCUCGAAAGUGUGGGUAGCAAACAGGAUUAGAUACCCUGGUAGUCCACACCGUAAACGAUGAUUACUAGGUGUUGGAGGAUUGACCCCUUCAGUGCCGCAGUUAACACAAUAAGUAAUCCACCUGGGGAGUACGACCGCAAGGUUGAAACUCAAAGGAAUUGACGGGGGCCCGCACAAGCAGUGGAGUAUGUGGUUUAAUUCGACGCAACGCGAAGAACCUUACCAAGUCUUGACAUCCCUUGACAGACAUAGAAAUAUGUAUUCUCUUCGGAGCAAGGAGACAGGUGGUGCAUGGUUGUCGUCAGCUCGUGUCGUGAGAUGUUGGGUUAAGUCCCGCAACGAGCGCAACCCUUAUGGUCAGUUACUACGCAAGAGGACUCUGGCCAGACUGCCGUUGACAAAACGGAGGAAGGUGGGGAUGACGUCAAAUCAUCAUGCCCUUUAUGACUUGGGCUACACACGUACUACAAUGGCGUUAAACAAAGAGAAGCAAGACCGCGAGGUGGAGUAAAACUCAGAAACAACGUCCCAGUUCGGACUGCAGGCUGCAACUCGCCUGCACGAAGUCGGAAUUGCUAGUAAUCGUGGAUCAGCAUGCCACGGUGAAUACGUUCCC